rnacentral:lncRNA from 1 species
UUUUUUUUUUUUUUUUUUUUUUUUUUAAUUAACACUGCAAGGGGAAAGUGGCAGGAUGUGAGAACACAGCACAGCAGUAAGGUAGGGUGAUGUAUCCUGGCCUGGGCAUCCUGAUGUCAGCCCAUAUUUCACUUGCACACUCCAUAGCCUUGUGAACAGCAGAGGAUGGUACCAAACACAUCUCCUCACUCUUACCCCUUUCUUCCAAGAAAGGAGACAACAGUGUCUAGAAGAGCACAUGUGUCAUUUCUUACAUUGUGUCUCUUUUCCCUUCCCCAUUCCUGGUGGAAGAAAACUCAAAAGAUCUUUUGACUUGAAUAAUUGCCCAUUUAGGAAAGCCAGACUGUUCACCACAUAAUUUUUUUAAAUAAGUUAAAUCAUUGUUUUCAUGGGGUUGAUUCCCAGCUUAUCUCAAGAGUUCUCUAAGCAUAUUGUUGAAAACCAGUGUAUCACUCUUAGGGUCUUUUCUUCCAAGCAGCCACCUCUUCCUGUGAAUUAUUUCAGCAGUACCUUUGUGACAGUGUUUUCAAAGCACCCUCCAAGUUCUCAGCUUCUAUGUACUGUCCACCAAAUGAGUGAAGAAUAGGCAAGAGGGAAGAGAACCUUGCUGACAACUAUGGAAAAGGGAAAUAUGCUCCAUAGAAGCAUCAAUGACCUAGAAUAAAAUGAGCUAUUCAGAAUUUUGCCCUGACGGAGUGAAGAUUCCCAGCAUGUUAGGCAAGAUAGAGGUGCACCUUGUUUGGUUACACAGUUUUGUUCUAAAAUCCUAUAGAGGACUGAAACAACAGUCUUCCCACUUCUACAAGCAAACUAGGAAAAGGAACUCCUCUGCUUAAAGGUCCCUCAGGAUAUUUGCCUGAAAAGAAAAACAACUUAGAAACCCUACGUUCUCUCCCACAAUGAUGUAUCCUUCUAGAGCACAUGCCAAGUGCUCGUUUGAACAUCUUUGCCCUCUAAGAACCUAGAUCCAGCUAUAGGCACUGCUACCAGUAGAGAAGUAUGGAAGCCAGUGGUAAGGAAGACGUCUCUCCUUUCACAUUUCAUGCAGCAAUGACUCCCAGUUCUUCCUCAGCAGACUACACCACAGAGUUCUGUUCAGUACCAGGAGACUCAAUGCCAGAAAAGUGCCAGAAAAACCCAGCUGAUAGUGGGAUAAGAACACCUUCAAGGCUAAUUGAGCAAUAAGAUCUGCAAUACCAUUCAAAGGCAUUCCAAUCUUUGUGUUUUUUUGUUUGUUUUUUGUUUUUUGCUUUUUAGGGCCGCACCCACAGCACAUGGAAGUUCCCGGGCUAGGGCUUGAAUCACAGCUAUAGCUGCCAGCCUACACCACAGCCACAGUGAUGCCAGAUCUGAGCCUUGUCUGUGACCUACACCACAGCUCACAGCAAUGCCGGAUCCCUGACCCACUGAGUGAGGCCAGGGAUCGAACCUGCAUCCUCAUGGAUACUGGUUGGAUUCAUUUCCUUAGUGCCACAACGGGAGCUCCCAGGGUUUCCAAUCUUGAUGUGAGUCUCUGUUUAGUGUCUCAAGGGACUCAUGGUGACCAUGAUCAGCCCUAACAUGGCACCCACUUAUGAAGCAUGGAGGUUGUGAUCAAUUCUUGAUAUGCAGUAAACCUGAAGCUUCUUUUAAAAGGAAUUUAAAGCAACCUAAUAAUGUUUCUUGUUGGUCUCCAUUGCCUGACUGCCAGGGAAUAUACCUAAUUAAUCUGGGAAGGCUGUAAGGGUGUAUGUGGAGUAAACCUUCAUGUUCAUCAACUCCAGCUUCAUUGUGUGGCCAACACAAAAGCAGAAACUUGGUACCUGCAUGCCAAGGGUCUUCUGAACCCACAUGGUAAUUCUCACUAAUCAUGGAGGAAGCCUAGGUCCAGUGGUACUCAGUAUUGAGGAAAGAUGGAGAAAAGACUUGGGCCCCUCAAGUUCUGUUUCAUUCAGUAUAACUUCAUGCCCCCUCAGUUAGCUGGAGGCUGACUUGGCAGUGGAAGCCAGCGUCAUGGAAUGGUAGGCUAAUAGAAGCCAUUCUGGAAGCAAUGCUGCCAAGAAGCAGUAUAUUCUGCAUAACUGAUUGUUACCUUCUCACUUUGGUACCUAGUGAGUUUUAUCAUUUUUCUGAAUUCACUGGUAGUUGGAGCCUGAAAGCCACCUUUCUUGAGCAAGGAGUCUAUUGUCUGGAUUUGAUCCCAGUCUUGUUCCUUAGGAACCUCAGGUAAACCUUUUUCAUUGAUGAAUUCACCUUGAUUCCCAUGGCCUCCUACUUCCCAGUCCAUGUAAUCACUGGCUUUCUCAAAAAAGUUACUUAAGGAGGGAGACAGAGCUUUAGUUUAGGCAACUAGCUCCUCUCGAGUCAGGUGGGGAAAUGGGCUAUCCUUAAGUGCACUGGUUAACAUAUUCCCUGAGUCCUGAAUGAAGCUUCCUGGCUAAGAAGGCCCUAAUGCAGCCAUGAAGUUCCUCCCUGUCUUCCAUGUCACAAAGAGUGGAUAGGGGUCAUUGGUAAAUCUAGGAAGCCAUGGCUAUGGAAAGCCAUACAGGUGAUAGUAGAGGAUAUCAGGAGGACAUCUCUGCCAUCACCGCCAGAUUCUAGGUGGUGUUGGCAAUUACAUUGGGCCAGGGGAAAGGGCUCAGUACUCCUUUUUUUUUUAAUUUUUUUUAGGGCUGCACUCACAGCAUAUGGAAGUUCCCAGGCUAGGAGACGAAUCAGAGCUGUAGCCACCAGCUUAUGCCACAGCCACAGCAACGCCAGAUCCAAGCCGUGUCUGUGGCCUACACCACAGCUCAUAGCAGCACCAGAUCCUUAACCCCCUGAGAGAAGCCAGGGAUCAAACCCGCAUCCUCAUGGAUACUAGUCAGGUUCAUUAACCACUGAGUCACAGUGCGAACUCCCAGGGCUCAGUACUCCUGAUGCAGAAUUCAUUCGUGUAAUGAGAACAUCUCCAGGUCCCAGAGUUAAGUCUGGCACAUUCUCCCACCUGCUGCUGCCAUCCAUGUGCUGGUGGUUUUAAGGAGGUUCUGAAGUAGAGUUGAAGACAGUUGUCUGGUUCCUAUGACAUUGCAUUCCACUUCCAGAUAACAUGGGCUUCUGAUAGCCUGCUGCCAAUUUGGGCUAGAGUGAAGGAAUGCAUGUCUCUUCUGCCGCCAACUUCACCCUAGUCCUGAUUCAGUGGUUGAAGUCUGGAAUGCUGUAAGAAUCUGUUAUUGGAACACAAUUUGGAACAUUGUUUAUAUUAUGGCUUUGACUGGAAUAUCCUAUUUCAGAAUAUGCAUAGAAUCAGAUAUAGACCACAUAGCUUUAAGGAACUGAGGCUGACUUUAUGGAGCCAAUAAAGCCCCUGGAAAACCAGCCUGUUAACUUGCUUGCUGGAUUCCGAGCAGCUUUUCCAGGUAAAUAAGGAAGGUGUCUUCCUGUGGGCCCAGAAACCUCAAGACAUUUGGUGAACCUCAAGAAGAAAGGAAUUAAAUCUAUAGAUAUUAUAGGUGAAGUUUGAUGACAAGUUCUAGGCUUGGCUUCUUAGCCUCAAGAAGGUUUUAAAAUGUGCAAAUUGAGAUUCCUUAUGAAAAGUUUCAGCAAAGCAAAUUUUUAAAGAGCUUCGAUUGUCAAUCACUACUCUUGCUAUAGUUAUGUAAAUAUCAAGCCAGGUUUAGUCAAACGACUUAUUUUGCAAACAAAGUAGUCUUACUGUGGUUAUCUUUAAUAGAAAUGAGAGUGAUUGUAAAGAGAAAAAUAUGCUCAGUAAAAAACUAUAACACAUUCUUAUAGAUAACAGUUUCUAUUCCUGUUCAUUAUCUUUGAGUUUCAUUGUCUAGCUGUAAACUGGACUUGAUUGUGAAAUCUUACAGUUUCCCCAGAUACUGACUACAACUCUCCAAACUGACAUUUCUCCUACCCUUCUGUUUUGAAGUCAAUAAGAACAGAGUUCCUUGGAACCUCCUUGAAAGAGACCAUACCAGAUCCCUCUCACUACCCAGAUAGCAGCCAAACUUCAGACACUUGAAUCUUGGGUCUACAUCUCCCAAUAAAUGAUCACUUCCAGACUCUUGGAACUGCAUACCAGCUGGGAGUCUAAGAUUAACAUUGACUAGGGAGGUUCCUCUGCAGAAGCAGAUGGCAUCUUGAAGUGGAUGGCUCACCCAAGAUCACAGAUCAAGAUCUUUAUCUACAGUAUGAAACUUUUAUUCCUCUUGCCUUUUAGUACUUGAUUUUUCUCUCUCUUAGUGAGUGGGAAGACAGUUCCCCUUAAUUCUGGCAACUAUUGUGGAGUCUAUGAAAAAGGCCAUAACUAUACAUAGACUUUCUUUCUUGCUAAAAUGGCUUUAGAUAAGAGAAUUCCUUUAGAUUACCUAUUGGCUGAACAAGGAGGAGUCUGUGCCAUAUUAAAUACCUGGAUCAACUCCUCUGGUAUUUUAGCAAAUACAAGGAAUUAACAAACAAGACACUCAGCUAAAACAAGUUGAUGCUUUUCAGGUACAUUCUUUGAUUUAUUUGAUGCCAACUAGUUUGGUUCAUGGGGCCCCUACCUAAAAAGCAUACAUUACUGUCUUGGUAUUAUCCUCCUGAUAGUCAUCACUGUAGUCUCCCUGGUGCUCUGUGUUCUCUAAACGGUCUUAAAUGCAUGUUCACAGCCAUCAGAUGGUCUCACUGCACUUGAAGAAACAAGAACAAGGUGAACAAGAUAAACAGCAGAAGUAAUUCUUCCAUGGACCUGAUAUCAUAAUCUAUAAGUUUUAAUGGUGAGACAGGAACAACUUUAAUGGUGACAGAGAGUGGCACUAAUACCAAAAGGCAGAAUCGUUAAAAUAAUUAAGGAGACCAUCAGACUGAGGUAGCUCUAAUGCCAUGUAUGUAAACCAAAAUCUAAGCCUGUAAAUGCCUGAAGGUUACAAAAUCAAAAACUAAGGACAAGCGGAGUUCCCUGGCGGUUCAGUGGGUUAAAGAUCUGGCAUUGUCAUUGCUGUGGCUUAGGUUGCUGCUGUGGUGCAGGUUUGAUCCCUGGCCAGGGAACUUUCCCAUGCCAUGGACAUAGCCAAAAUAAUAAUAAAGGACAACCAAUCACAAACAGCCAAAUGGACUUUAAGCUUUUUGCCAGACAAAUAAUUUCCUCUCUUUAAUUCAGUACCUUCCCUAGGUAAGUCAUUCUCCUAGCUCCUGUUGGUGGAGCACUCCUAAUCACUUCCUAUUUGGAGCUCAAUUAGAAUCAAUCUUUGUUAAAUUAAACCCUUAAAUUUUUUAAUAUGCCUCAAUUUAUCUUUCAUCAGAACUCAAAAAGAGAAGAACAGUCUGUGUUAUUUUUUUGCUUUUUAGGGCUGCACCCAUGGCAUACAGAAGUUCCCAGGCUAGGGGGUCAAAUCAAAGCUGUAGCUGCCAGCCACAGCAACCAACAGCGGAUCCGAGGUAUGUCUGCGACCUACACCACAACUCAAGGCAACGCUGGAUCCUUAACCCGCUGAGCGAGGCCAGGUAUCAAACCCACAUCCUCAUGGAUACUAGUCAGGUUUGUUACCACUGAGCCACAACGGGAAGUCCCAAGAACAAACAGUCUAUUAUAUUUCACCAGGUAUUUAUCAUCCUGUUCCUUUUCCUCUGCAAGUACAGUCAUAUUUCCGUCUAAGAUAAAAUUUCAGCUUCUUGACAAUUUAUACCCUGCCUUUCUUCACUAGCAACACCAAUCGAAUGUCAUUCAAUGUCAAUAAACAGCCAUUUGCAUCCUAAUUUCAGUGCUUACAAGAAUACUAAUGGCCCAUAAAAAUAUGAGAGUAGUAGAAUUAGCUAACAUUUGUUUUGGGUCAAGUAACAUUUAUUCUCAGAAUUGCAGUGUGACAUUCUCAUCCUUGUUUUACAGAUGAAGAUAAUGAAGAACUAGGAAGAAGUUAAAUAUUUUGCCUAAGCUUGCAUACUUAGAAAGUAGCACAUCAUGGAUUUGAACCUAAAUAGCAUGGCUCCAGAGCCCAUAAAUACUUAGGGUGAAAGAACUUGAAACACAGAAGAACACAGAUUAACUACCAAGUUUGAGCCACAGAAACCCAAACUGACACACUGAUGUACAUACUAAUGCAUUAUCAAAAUUUGUACUUAGCUUUUUUCUAUAAAUGGAUAUUCUUUGAAUAUACUUCUACAACACUAAAAUUUCAAGUACGUUAGUUAUCUGUAAAAGUAUUUUCUGUUUUCAGAUUUUUACUUUAAUUUUCCUGUUUACAAUAUUUCAAGCAACACAGAAAUGUAUACUUACAAUAUGAAAUUACUCUGACUCUCCCUUCUGCUUGAUACCUGGCCUCUAACCCAAAGAUGUCCACUAUCAAUAGAUUGGUGCAUGUUCCAGGUGUGUUUCUCUAUAGGUAAAGCAUUAUCAAACAGAGAUACACAAAAAUAUUUAUUCGUAUGUUUUCUUUUUCAUUAUAGAAUCACAUUCAUAUUUUGCAACUUGCCUUUUUUCAUUAAAAAUAACAG